rnacentral:tRNA from 1 species
GGGGUCGUAGCUCAGUCGGGAGAGCGCCUGCUUCGCAAGCAGGAGGUCGUCGGUUCGAGUCCGACCUUCUCCA